UUUCCGUAGAUGAACCUGCGGAGGGAUCAUUACAGAGUUCAUGCCCUACCGGGUAGAUCUCCCACCCUAUGUUAUUAUUACUUUGUUGCUUUGGCGGGCCGUUAGGCUCCGGCCCGACUACCGGCCCCGGCUGGUAAGCGCCCGCCAGAGGACCCAAAACCCUGAAUAUUAGUGUCGUCUGAGUACUAUAUAAUAGUUAAAACUUUCAACAACGGAUCUCUUGGUUCUG
rnacentral:misc_RNA from 1 species